GGAAGCUAUAUGAUCAAUAACCCGGGGAAGUUAGAGGGGAAACAAAUGCAAGGCAGGCAGGAGUUACCUGGUUGAUGGAAAUGACCGCCAGCCGGGGUAUGACCACUUGGAGGAUGACCUGCAGCAGCGAGGUGCCCAGGCCGGCCAGGAUGGCCCAGGUGAGCGGCAGCGGCAGCAUACUGUAGGUGGCGAAGAGCGUGAAGAGCACGUAGCCUAUGCCGUCGCCCAGGAGCCCGUAGCCGAGGCCUGCUGCCAGGAUCUGGGUGGUCAUGGCCACCCAGGUGACCACGCCGCUGUACUGCAGACUUAUAAAAGAAGUAGAACACACAUGCUUCCCAUUAGGUGAGAAAGAAACAUGCCUGAGAGUCUAAUGGAUUACUCAAGUCUGUGCUGCCAAGGAAGAACAGAAUCUUUAGAUAUCAUGUGUUUUACAAAUUGAAGUUUGUGGAAACCCUGCAUCAAACAAGUCUAUUGGUGACAUUUUCCCAACAGCAUUUGCUCACUUUGUGUUUCUGUGUCACAUGUUGAUAAUUCUUACAAUAUUUGAAACCUUUUUUAUUAUUAUACAUGUUCUGGUGAUCUGUGAUCAGUGAUCUUUGAUGUUACUACUGUAAUUUUUUUGGAUGCUGUGAACUGUGCCCAUAUAAAAUGGUGAAUUAAAUCAAUA
rnacentral:lncRNA from 1 species